UGGGUAACCUGCCUCAAAGAGGGGAAUAGCCUCCCGAAAGGGGAGAUUAAUACCGCAUAAUAUGUUUAAGUCGCAUGACUUUAACAUCAAAAGGAUUUUUCUUUUAAGAAAUUCCACUUUGAGAUGGACCCGCGGCGCAUUAGCUUGUUGGUGGGGUAACGCUCACCAAGGCGACGAUCCGUAGCUGGUCUGAGAGGACAUCAGCCACACUGGGACUGAGACACGGCCCAGACCUCCGUAGGGAG
rnacentral:rRNA from 1 species